UGGGGGCCGGCGCUGCAGCCCCGGUCAGCUCCCGGGCCGGUUCCCCGGUCCCGUGUCUCUCCCUCCCAGGGCAAGUGCAGAUUCGGAGUCCCGGCCCCAGCCCCCGCGAGGUGACCUCUGGCUCUCACUGCCUCAAAACGGGGCUGGGGCUCCACCUCGUUUGGUUCUUCUGACCGCAUGAGCUAAGCUGCACAGCACAGGGCUGGCGUCUGGGGGCCCCACAGAGGGCGCGGGGGAGCGCUGAGGGAGAAAUCUAGCUGGGAAUCCCUGCAGCAAAUGGCGGUCACUUGUCAGGCGCUGACCGUGGCCAGACCUGACCCUAUGUGCUGGAGACACACGCGAAACCCGGGAGGGUCUCUGCCCUUAUGAGGAAAGACCGCUGGCGACUGGACCUGGGCCACUGUCUCUAUUCCACAGCGAGACCCCUGCUGGCCUGCAGAGCACCACAUUUCAAAUUGGACCCCGCUACCCUUACUGCUUUAGAAUCCUUUAUAAAAGUGUCAUUCUGGGGGGCACCCGGCUGUCUGACUCUUGAUUUUGGCUCAGGUCAUGAUCCCAGUGCCAUGGGAUUGAGUCUCUCGUCCGGCUCUGUGCUGAACACGGAGCCUGCUUAUGAUUCUCUCUCCCCCUCUGCCCAUCUCCCCAGCUUGUGCUCUCAAAAAAAAAAAGAGAGAAAAAGGUACAAUUCUUGCAGUUUGGUGACUGCCUUAAAUGGAGACAAAUAGCAUGCAAUAUUUAUUUGAUAUUAGCCAAACUGGGAGAAAUUAUCAGUCAGUCAGGCAGAGCCCGACACGGGGCUUGAUCCCAGGACCCUGAGCUGGAAUCAUGUCAGUUUUUAAGUACUGUGUACUUUGCCUUACCAGGGACUUCCUGAUAAAGUCUCUCGGAGCUUAUACUUUUCACCCGCUACAAGAUCUCCUACCUUAAUUGUACAGUGUUUUACAGUUGUCUUUUUUUUUUUUUUUUUUUGAGAGGGUGAGCAAGUGCACCUGCAAGUGAACGAGGGGAGAGAGAGUGGGGCGGGGAGGGGAGGGGAGAGAGAAGCGGGGCUGGAGCUCACGAAUUGUGAGAUCACGACCUGAGCUGAGGUUGAAUGCCUAAGGACCAAGCACCCCAGGCGCUGGCACUUUACAGUGUCACUAAUGCCCCCCCCCACCCCCCGCCGCCGUCUUCACGGAUCCGUUGGAACUGACGUACGGUCCCCAAAGGGGAAAACACAGGCUCGGCGAGGUCACGAGAGUUAAGUGGCAGAAUCAUCUGUUUCACAACUGUUUACUGGACAUCACAGGGGUGAGGGCCUCGGCCUAACCCCGACUCCUGUGGCGAUCGAGGACGGGACGGCUCACCGGGGAGGCGGACAAGGGGACACGGGCACAGGCGCACCUCACAGUUCCAUUUAUUCACGCCACAAAGGAAACAACACGUCUACACGCGUACGGCGGUGCUCCACGCCCCCAUCUAACAGAGCUGCCGGGAUUUACAGCCAGAUGGUCGGUCUCACGUGUGCUCCGAGGAAAGCUGGCUAAUGGUGACCGUGGGCGGGGGCAGGACUCGAAGCUUUUAAAAGAGAAGCACAGUGUGACUGUAAGUGAGGAAGAAAGGGACACACAGAAGAUGGUCUAUUCCGUUCCUUACUGACAAGUCUGUAAAUGACAGUUUUCAACACUAUGGACAAGUCUGGAGGGUCACUUCUACAUGGAGCGUCUGACACAUUUACGGGUUCGUGUAAUCAGUUCGUGCACACGGCACAAACCUGUGGCACAGGACAGAGGGGCAGGAAGUGUCUUCUCCCCAGAGGUGUCACGAGCCAGCCCUGGGUUUGUGAGGACUCACAUGAUUGGUUUCACUGUCAUUUGGGAAAUAGAGUGAAAUGUCUGACACUUGGGCAUAAACUUAUGUGAUGCUUUCUUCCAAAACACACCUCACAGGGCAGCGAGCUCACACAGCUAACCUGUGCUUCCCUGCUGGCGGCACUGGCUACAUCUGGCUUUCCAUUACCCCCAGAAGUCUUACUUGGUCCAAGGGGGUGAGCAGUGGUUUUUAACACUCCGACUGUAAGAGGAACUUCACGUUUCAACGUGAUCCCCCUGUACCUUAUGUACUGAUAAGCACACACCGCAGAACAGAUACGCCUUGAUCUAAAAAGGCACGAUGGGGUUUUUAAUUCCCCAUCCAUUUUAAGAAGCAAAAAUCUUACCUUUCGAAGCUUUACUUCUUUUAUCUGAAAUAAAAAGAAAGAAAAAUUGGUCGUA